rnacentral:rRNA from 1 species
GACGAACGCUGGCGGCGCGCCUAACACAUGCAAGUCGAACGGAGUUGAUUUUUCUGAAGUUUUCGGAUGGACGAGAGAUUAACUUAGUGGCGAACGGGUGAGUAACGCGUGGGUAACCUGCCUUUCAGAGGGGGACAACAGUUGGAAACGACUGCUAAUACCGCAUAAGACCACGGUACCGCAUGGUACAGUGAUCAAAGGAGCAAUCCGCUGAAAGAUGGGCCCGCGUCUGAUUAGAUAGUUGGUGGGGUAACGGCCUACCAAGUCGACGAUCAGUAGCCGGACUGAGAGGUUGAUCGGCCACAUUGGGACUGAGACACGGCCCAGACUCCUACGGGAGGCAGCAGUGGGGAAUAUUGCACAAUGGGCGAAAGCCUGAUGCAGCAACGCCGCGUGAAGGAAGAAGGUCUUCGGAUCGUAAACUUCUAGUCCUUAGGGAAGAUAAUGACGGUACCUUUGGAGGAAGCCCGGCUAACUACGUG